rnacentral:rRNA from 1 species
ACGGAGGGUGCAAGCGUUAUCCGGAUUUAUUGGGUUUAAAGGGUCCGUAGGCGGAUAAUUAAGUCAGUGGUGAAAGCCCACAGCUCAACUGUGGAACUGCCAUUGAUACUGAUUAUCUUGAGUACAUUUGAAGUUGGCGGAAUAGGUCAUGUAGCGGUGAAAUGCUUAGAUAUGACCUAGAACACCGAUUGCGAAGGCAGCCAACUAAGCUGUAACUGACGCUGAGGGACGAAAGCGUGGGGAGCGAACAGG